AUUGAACGCUGGCGGCGGGCCUAACACAUGCAAGUCGAGCGAGCGGCGAACGGGUGAGUAAUGUAUGGGGACUGCCCGAUAGAGGGGGAUAACUCCUGGGAACGGUAGCUAAUACCGCAUACUAUCGGAUAACCCAUAUGGGAUUAGCUAGUAGGUGGGGUAAUGGCUCACCUAGGCGACGAUCCCUAGCUGGUCUGAGAGGAUGAUCAGCCACACUGGGACUGAGACACGGCCAAGACUCCUACGGAGGCAGCAGGGGGGAAUAUUGCACAAUGGGCGAAAGCCGGAUGCAGCAAGGCCGCGUGUAUGAAGAAGGCCCUAGGGUUGUAAAGUACUUUCAGUCGGGAGGCGUUACCGACAGAAGAAGCACCGGCUAACUCCGUGCCAGCCGCCGCGGUAAUUC
rnacentral:rRNA from 1 species